GGUGCCAUAGCUAAGUUGGUAGAGCAAAGGACUGAAAAUCCUUGUGUCCCCGGUUCGAUUCCUGGUGGCACCA
rnacentral:tRNA from 1 species